rnacentral:rRNA from 1 species
CCUACGGGAGGCAGCAGUGAGGAAUAUUGGUCAAUGGGCGGGAGCCUGAACCAGCCAAGUCGCGUGAGGGAAGAAGGUACUGAGUAUUGUAAACCUCUUUUGCCAGGGGACAAAGGCGGCCACGGGUGGCCGUAAGAGGGUACCUGGAGAAAAAGCAUCGGCCAACUCCGUGCCAGCAGCCGCGGUAAUACGGAGGAUGGGAGCGUUAACCGGAUUUAUUGGGUUGAAAGGGUGCGCAGGCGGGGUGUCAAGUCAGAGGUAAAAUGCCGUGGCUCAACCCCGGCCGGCCUGUGAAACUGGGGUGGUCGAGUUGGAGAAGAGUAUGCGGAAUUCGUGGUGGAGCGGUGGAAUGCAGAGAUAUCACGAAGAACCACGAUUGCGAAGGCAGCAUACCGGCUCCACACUGACGCUGAGGCACGAAAGCGUGGGUAUCGAACAGGAUUAGAUACCCCGAGUAGUC